rnacentral:rRNA from 1 species
GCAGUCGAGCGGACAGAUGGGAGCUUGCUCCCUGAUGUUAGCGGCGGACGGGUGAGUAACACGUGGGUAACCUGCCUGUAAGACUGGGAUAACUCCGGGAAACCGGGGCUAAUACCGGAUGCUUGAUUGAACCGCAUGGUUCAAUUAUAAAAGGUGGCUUUUAGCUACCACUUACAGAUGGACCCGCGGCGCAUUAGCUAGUUGGUGAGGUAACGGCUCACCAAGGCGACGAUGCGUAGCCGACCUGAGAGGGUGAUCGGCCACACUGGGACUGAGACACGGCCCAGACUCCUACGGGAGGCAGCAGUAGGGAAUCUUCCGCAAUGGACGAAAGUCUGACGGAGCAACGCCGCGUGAGUGAUGAAGGUUUUCGGAUCGUAAAACUCUGUUGUUAGGGAAGAACAAGUACCGUUCGAAUAGGGCGGUACCUUGACGGUACCUAACCAGAAAGCCACGGCUAACUACGUGCCAGCAGCCGCGGUAAUACGUAGGUGGCAGCGUUGUCCGGAAUUAUUGGGCGUAAAGCGCGCGCAGGCGGUUUCUUAAGUCUGAUGUGAAAGCCCCCGGCUCAACCGGGGAGGGUCAUUGGAAACUGGGGAACUUGAGUGCAGAAGAGGAGAGUGGAAUUCCACGUGUAGCGGUGAAAUGCGUAGAGAUGUGGAGGAACACCAGUGGCGAAGGCGACUCUCUGGUCUGUAACUGACGCUGAGGCGCGAAAGCGUGGGGAGCGAACAGGAUUAGAUACCCUGGUAGUCCACGCCGUAAACGAUGAGUGCUAAGUGUUAGAGGGUUUCCGCCCUUUAGUGCUGCAGCAAACGCAUUAAGCACUCCGCCUGGGGAGUACGGUCGCAAGACUGAAACUCAAAGGAAUUGACGGGGGCCCGCACAAGCGGUGGAGCAUGUGGUUUAAUUCGAAGCAACGCGAAGAACCUUACCAGGUCUUGACAUCCUCUGACAACCCUAGAGAUAGGGCUUCCCCUUCGGGGGC